rnacentral:lncRNA from 1 species
CACAUUCUUUUCUUGGAACUUUACCAAAUGUUACUACAAAGCAUUAUGACACUGGUAUAAAUUAGUCACAGGAUGCACAAUCUGUGCUCUAACAGUGUCUGUCACUUCACAGCAAACAGAGCAAGGGAGGAAGGGUAGUAGAGACUCUGGCCGUGGGUGAAAACAGGGCUCUCUCCUCAUCCGUCCAUCUGGUAAAACAAGUAGCUUGUCUGGUUCUGAGGAGAAAAAGGCAAAGGACUCAUAAAUGGGAGAAACUGACCCUGAGAGUAUGAUAGAGGCCCUGACACUAAAGAGAAUGCUGACAUACCACAGUUAAAAAUUGUUCAAGGCAUUGGAAAAAAAAAUGGGCAAACUCAGAACUUCAGGUGAAGUCUUCCGUAAAAAAACAUGAAUCUGAUUGAAGUGCAAAGGGGAAAAUUGUAAGAGACCAAAUAGUUCACUGUUGCAGAACCAUCCUUCCCAGAUGUGUCUGGAACACAGAGAGAGACAAGAUUCCAUGAAACAAGCUGUAACUCAAUGGAACAUGCUAAAAAAAAAUCAGGGAAAGGGAAAAGAGAAUGCCAGGGAGACUUUCAGGAUUAACAUGCAGUGCUGAAUAUUUAAUUAGCCUGGGAUAACAACAGGUAAUUAUGAAAUCAAGCAAAGUUCUAUUAUGCAUCAUUUUAUAAUUCAUGCGGGUGUGUCAUAAAAUUACAAGCAUUUGUACUUUUAAAAAACUAACCAUGUGUUUAAUGCAAAUGCAAUCACGCUAAUGUGAUUCACAUUUUUUAAAGUGCACACUGAGAGAGCGGGUAAUAAUGAGAGGCUUUGUAAACAAAAUCACUGGGAGAUACUAAUAAUGCAACACUACUAAGGUGUGUUAUUUAUUGCAAAAUUUGGAGGAGAGAAAAAAAUGACCUAUAAUCAGCUCUUCAUUCCCUGUUUUUAAUUCUCAGGUAUUUUAGGAUUGCACUUUUCUCUUGGUGUUCCUCAAUUUUUUUGUGCUUCUGGUCUUGGAUAUGUAAGUCUGGGAGAAGGAGUGAGUGAUCAGAAUGGGUGAGGACAUAUUCACAGCAUUUCACUUUAAUUCAGCUGGUUAAAUGGAAGGAGAUAAUCUCUUCCUCUGAAAGGGAGGAAGUUUCUGCCCCUGGCAGAAACUCUGAUGACUCCAAGGGGAACCUUCGCCUAUGUGGAUAAAGUUAUAUAAAAGAGUUAUAUAUAAAAGUUAUAAUACAUAGAAAAUGAAAGGCAUUUUGCUGUCUAGGGUUUA